AAUGUUUUCAACAAAUCUUAGACAGGUUCAUAGAAUUAAAGCUCUUACAACAUGUAUGCAGCUAAGAAACUGCCUGGAAUUUUAGGGAGAA